rnacentral:lncRNA from 7 species
AGACUGACCCAGCAGCCAAGAUGUGAAGCACAAUGAGUGCAGGGAGUGAGGAAUGCACUUGUCCUACCUAAGAAAGUAAUUGGAGAUAUUGUUCUGUCUGGAUAUUUAUCAAGGCUGGAGGCUAAAUUCUGGCCCUGCGGGAGCUAAUGACAAAUCUCCAUUGAUUUCGGAGGAAAAGCAAGUGCUUGAAGCAGACAUUCUCUGAGUGGGACAUUUCUCAAGAUGGGAUGGCCAAUAGCCUUUGUGCCAGUGGCAGCUCAGUGCUUUCUCCUCCGACAGCACCGAGCAGCAGGAAGAUCUGCUCCAUGGCUCCUGUCUACCUUGAGGCACUGAGGGAGCAUCUGUAAACUAGUCCAGAUUUGUUUGUAAAGUUUCAUUCACAGCUCCCCUUUGGCCAAGGAAAGACCGAAGGCAAAUCCACUUUGGUGCCAGAACAAAGGGAUUUGGAGGAGCCUGGAUUCCCAGCAGCACAAAACUUCAGCACCACCAGGAGAUGACACAGCAGCUCAUAGAUGACUUUCACUAUCUGAUCAGACAACUUCUUAAUCAGCAGAGACAGUGCUCACUGUCAGAAAAAUGUCACAUGAGUCAGCUUUCAUCUGCAGGGAACAGGUUCUGCUCCUGCACAACUAAUGGGAGUCCAGUUGUUCUCCAUAUUCAUUGUCUCAUGCUGCACUGUCUGCCGUUCCCAGGCUCUCCUGGCCCUCGUGGCCACAGAGGUUCGGCACACAAACAAGGUUACAGCAGUGAAAAUCAAAGCCAGCAAGAGCAAAACUGCCCUUACAACUACACUGGGUUGUGGUUAUAAGCCCCUGAACUGGCUCUUUAAAUAAUUCAGGAAUAGAUUUGAAAAAUACAACCCCUCAUUUAAAAGGAAGGAGUUUCUCAAGUAACAGAUUCAAUGUUGGAAGAGUAAUAGAUGCCUAUAAUUUCCAUAAUAAACAUCCUCUCUUUAAAAGUAGGAGUAGAAACUGUCACCGUAGUUAAACAUAAAAUUAAGACAUGAUUUCUCAACUCCUCACGAGCUUUGUGUUUUGCUGAAGUAGUUUAUGAACCACGUUUGCCUUUAAUAAAGUCCAUGUAUUUGCAUAUC